rnacentral:lncRNA from 1 species
UGCUUUGGCUUAUGUUACCGUAGAACUUGCAGCAUUUGGUGGUACUGUUCCGUCUUACAAUAUCAAUCCAUUGUUGAUUAGUUCCUCAUGUCUUGUUGGCUUAAGUUUUUUUUUGUUUUGAGCUCUGUGAGGCAUAUAUUAUUAUGACUAUUGAGUUGGUAUUGACGACGUCGCUACCUUUGAGCUAACUCAUUGCUUCUUAUAGCCCUUGAUUUGGGUUGAUCCGAAAACUGCAUAGGCUAGGUUUGUUGGCUUCAAUGCAGGUUUUGCUUUAUUCUUAAAAAAAGAAAUCUGGUUGUAACUCACUCUUGCCUUAAUGCAGGACGGUCUUCUAGCAGUGUGGUUCUGUUAACUGAUAUGUCUUGGUUGAUUCCUGCAGGUUGUAUGUUGGUUUGGCAAUGUUUGCUGGUGUGCAUGUAGGAUUUGCAGCAAGUCCGUGAUGACCAAAACUGAGAUGUCGAGAGUCCUGAUUUUGCCAGGUUGUUUUCUACAGCAUAUGAUGGUCUCAAUGAGGUUUUAUACUUAUUAACUAU